GACGAACGCUGGCGGCAAGCCUAAUACAUGCAAGUCGAGCGAACAGAUGAAGUGCCUGCACUUCUGACGUUAGCGGCGAACGGGUGAGUAACACGUAAGGAAUCUACCUAUAAGCGGGGGAUAACAUUCGGAAACGGGUGCUAAUACCGCAUAAUAUCUUCUUCCGCAUGGAAGAAGAUUGAAAGACGGCUCUGCUGUCACUUAUAGAUGACCUUGCGGUGCAUUAGUUAGUUGGUGGGGUAAUGGCCUACCAAGACGAUGAUGCAUAGCCGACCUGGAAGGGUGAUCGGCCACAUUGGGACUGGGACACGGCCCAAACUCCUACGUGAGGCAGCAGUAGGGAAUCUUCCGCAAUGGGCGAAAGCCUGACGGAGCAAUGCCGCGUGAGUGAAGAAGGCCUUCGGGUCGUAAAACUCUGUUAUAAGAGAAGAACAAAUUGUAGAGUAACUGCUACAGUCUUGACGGUAUCUUAUCAGAAAGCCACGGCUAACUACGUGCCAGCCGCCGCAGUAA
rnacentral:rRNA from 1 species